AUAACGCUGGCGGCGUGCCUAACACAUGCAAGUCGAACGCCCUUUGUCUCGCAAGAAGAGGGAGGGAGUGGCGGACGGGUGAGUAACACAUGGGUGACCUACCCCGCAGUGAGGAAUACCGGCGAGAAAUCGCCGACAAGACCGCAUAGGCUCUCUUUGGUCGAGCCAAGAGAGCAAAGUCUCGCACGAGACGCUGAGGGAUGGGCCUGUGGCCGAUUAGCUAGUUGGGGGGGUAAGAGCCUCCCAAGGCCACGAUCGGUAGCUGGUCUGAGAGGACGAACAGCCACACUGGGAUUGAGAACGGCCCAGACUCCUACGGGGGGCAGCAGUGAGGAAUUUUCCGCAAUGGGCGCAAGCCUGACGGAGCAACGCCGCGUGCAGGAAGACGCUUUUCGGAGUGUAAACUGCUUUUCUGUGGGACGAGGAUGGACGGUACCACAGGAAGAAGCCCCGGCUAACUACGUGCCAGCAGCCCGCGGUAAUACGUA
rnacentral:rRNA from 1 species